GGAAAUGUGGCUUAGUGGUAGAGUGCUUGCCUAACAUGUAUGAAGCCCUGGGUUCAACUCCUCAGUACCA
rnacentral:tRNA from 1 species